UAUUCCUCGUUCCACCACUUUCUGCUUACUUGGUUUGGGGGACCAUAAUGAAUUUCUCUGUACCCUCAGAUGACCCUCCUGUUAAAAACAGGAUACACAAAGCAGAUCCUGCUAUUAAGAGGCUCAUCAUAUAGUAGAAGAGACAGGUUCAUGGGCAGAUUAAUGAAAUUGCAGAGUAAGAACUACAAUGACAUAUGGACAAGCAAUCAGCAUGUGAACUGGAGGACACAAAAGCAUCAACGACUCCUGCAGUGCAGAGAGGAUGAGUUACAGACAUCAUAGGAAGAUG